rnacentral:rRNA from 1 species
UACGUAGGUGGCAAGCGUUGUCCGGAAUUAUUGGGCGUAAGGCGCGCGCAGGCGGUUUCUUAAGUCUGAUGUGAAAGCCCCCGGCUCAACCGGGGAGGGUCAUUGGAAACUGGGAAACUUGAGUGCAGAAGAGGAAAGUGGAAUUCCAAGUGUAGCGGUGAAAUGCGUAGAGAUUUGGAGGAACACCAGUGGCGAAGGCGACUUUCUGGUCUGUAACUGACGCUGAGGCGCGAAAGCGUGGGGAGCAAACAGG